rnacentral:rRNA from 1 species
GCGUGAGUGAUGAAGGCCUUCGGGUUGUAAAGCUCUUUUGGCGGGGACGAUGAUGACGGUACCCGCAGAAUAAGCUCCGGCUAACUUCGUGCCAGCAGCCGCGGUAAUACGAAGGGAGCUAGCGUUGUUCGGAAUUACUGGGCGUAAAGGGCGCGUAGGCGGCGCCAGUAGUCAGGCGUGAAAGCCCCGGGCUUAACCUGGGAAAUGCGCUUGAUACUCUGGUGCUUGAGUGUGGGAGAGGUUGGUGGAAUUCCCAGUGUAGAGGUGAAAUUCGU